GACGAACGCUGGCGGCGUGCUUAACACAUGCAAGUCGUACGAAGUGGCAAACGGGUGAGUAACGCGUAGACAACCUGCCGUAAAGAUGGGGACAACAGUUCGAAAGGACUGCUAAUACCGAAUGCUUUACGAUGGGUCUGCGUCUGAUUAGCUAGUUGGUGGGGUAACGGCCUACCAAGGCGACGAUCAGUAGCCGGUCUGAGAGGAUGAACGGCCACAUUGGAACUGAGACACGGUCCAGACUCCUACGGGAGGCAGCAGUGGGGAAUCUUCCGCAAUGGGCGCAAGCCUGACGGAGCAACGCCGCGUGAGUGAAGAAGGGUUUCGACUCGUAAAGCUCUGUUGUCGGGGACGCGGUACCUGACGAGGAAGCCACGGCUAACUACGUGCCAGCAGCCGCGGUAAUACGUAGGUGGCGGGCGUUGUCCGGAAUUAUUGGGCGUAAAGGGAGCGCAGGCGGGAAGGUAAGUCUAUCUUAAAAGUGCGGGGCUCAACCCCGUGAGGGGAUGGAAACUAUCUUUCUUGAGUGCAGGAGAGGAAAGCGGAAUUCCUAGUGUAGCGGUGAAAUGCGUAGAUAUUAGGAGGAACACCAGUGGCGAAGGCGGCUUUCUGGACUGUAACUGACGCUGAGGCUCGAAAGCGUGGGGAGCGAACAGGAUUAGAUACCCUGGUAGUCCACGCCGUAAACGAUGAAUGCUAGGUGUAGGACUGUGCCGGAGUUAACGCAAUAGCAUUCCGCCUGGGGAGUAC
rnacentral:rRNA from 1 species